CCUGGUUGAUCCUGCCAGUAGUUAUAGGCUUGUCUCAAAGAUUAAGCCAUGCACGUGUAAGUACACACUGCCGGUACAGUGAGCAAAUGGCUCAUUAAAUGGUUCCUUUUGAUUAAAUCAGUUAUGGAGUUAUGGUUCCUUUGAUCGCUCUAUCUGUUACUUGGAUAACUGUGGUAAUUCUAGAGCUAAUACUUGCCGGACGAGCGCAGACCUCCCGGGAUGCAUGCAUUUAUCAGACCAAUGCCAAUCCGGGGCCGAUUGCUCAUCCCAAUGAUAGUGACGAUGCAUUCGGAAGUCUGCCCUAUCAACUUUCGAUGGUACUUUCUGUGCCUACCACGGUAACCACGGGUAAUGGGGAAUCAGGGUUCGAUUCCGGAGAGGGAGCCUGAGAAACAGCUACCACAUCCAAGGAAGGCAGCAGGCGGCGAAAUUACCCACUCCCGACUCCGGGAUGUAGUGAUGGAAAAUAACAAUACAGGACUCUUUCGAGGCACUGUAAUUGGAAUGAGCACACUUAAAAUCACACUUAAAACAAGUACCCAUUGGAGGGCAAGUUUGGUGCCAGCAGCCGCGGUAAUUCCAGCUCCAAUAGCGUAUUCUAAAUUUGCUGCAGUUUAAAAGCUUGUAGUUCGAUCUUGGGAUCGAGCUGGCGGUCCGCCGCGAGGUGAAGUACUGCCUGUCCCAGGCCCUGCCUCUUUGCGCUCCCUUGAUGCUCUUUACUCAGUGUCCUGGGGGUCUGAACGGUUUACUUUGAAAAAGUUAGAGGGUUCAAAGAAACCGGUUGCCUAGGAAUAGCCAUGAUUAAGAGAGACGGCCGGGGCAUUCGUAUUGUGCUGCUACAGGUGAAAUUCUUGGGCCGGAGCAAGACGAACCAAAGCGAAAGCAUUACCCAAGAAUGUUUUCAUUAAUCAAGAACGAAAGUCUGAGGUUCAAAGACUAUCCGAUACCAUCGUAGUUCUGACCAUAAACUAUGCCGACUAGUGAUUUGGCAGGGUUCUUCCCAUGACCCGCUGAGCAGAUUCCGGGAAACAAACCAAAGUCUUUGGGAUCCGGGAGGAGGGGGGAAUAUGGUUGCAAAGCUGAAACUUAAAGGAAUUGCUGGAAGGGCACCACCAGGAGUGGAGCUUGCAGUUUAAUUCGAACACCGGAAACCUCACCCAGCCCGGACACAGAAAGGAUUGAUAGCUCUUUCUCGAUUAUGUGGAUGGUGGUGCAUGGCCGUUCUUAGUUGGUGGAGCGAUUUAUCUGGUUAAUUCCAAUAACUAACAAAACUCCUCCAUGCUAACUAGUUAAGCGAGUCCCCCUAACCCCCCAGUGGUCGGCGUUCAACUUCUUAGUGGGACAAGUGGCGUUCAACCACACGAGAUCGAGCAAUAACAGGUCUGUGAUGCCCUUAGAUGUACGUGGCUGCACGUGCGCUACACUGAAUGGAUCAGCAUAUGUCUAACCUUCGCCAACAGGUGUGUCUAAUCUGCUGAACCCCGUUCGUGCUAGGGAUUGGGGAUGAACGAGGAAUUCUCAGUAAGUGCGGGUCAUAAGUUCAUGUUUAUUAAGUCCCUGCCCUUUGUACACACCGUCCGUCGCUACUACACAUUGGAUGGUUUAGUGAGGUCGUCGGAUAGGCCCCGCCGGGUUCCGCAACGGCCCUGGCGGAGCGGCGAGAAGACUAUCAAACUUGACUAUCUGGAGGAAGUAAAAGUCGUAUGGGUUGGGUUAACCUGCCGGGG
rnacentral:rRNA from 1 species